AUGGGGUAUUGUGUCGUUAUGGGGUAUUGUGUCGUUAUGGGUAUUGUUGUCGUCAUGGGGUAUUGUGUCGUUAUGGGGUAUUGUGUCGUCAUGGGGUAUUGUGUAUUAGGGGUAUUGUGUCGUCAUGGGGUAUUGUGUCAUUAUGGGGUAUUGUUGUCGUUCAUGGGGUAUUGUGUAUGGUUUAUUGGGGUCAUUGUGUGUAUGGGGAUUGUGUCAUUAUGGGGUUUGUGUCAUUAUGGGGUAUUGUGCGUUAGGUAUUGUGUUUAUUGGGGUAUUUGUGUCGAUGGGGUAUUGUUUCUUAUGGGGUAUUGUGUCGUCAUGGGGUAUUGUGUCAUACGGAGUAUUGUGUCAUUAUGGGGUAUUGUGUCGUUACUGGGUUUGUGCAUUACGGUUGGUGGUAUUGUGUCAUUAAUGGUAUUGUGUCAUUAUGGGGUAUUGUUGUGUCAUUACUGGGUAUUGUAUCGUUAUGGGGUAUUGUGUCGUUACUGGGUAUUGUUGUCGUACUGGGUAUUGUGUCGUUAUGGGGUAUUGUGUCGUUAUUAUGGGGUAUUGUGCGUUAUGGGGUAUUGUUCGUUACACGGGUAUUGGUCGUUCCGGUAUUGUGUGUUACCGGGUAUUGUGUCGUUACCGGGUAUUGUGUCGUCACGGGGUUGGUUGUGGCUAUUGUGUCGUUACGGGUUGGUAUUGUGUCGUUACCGGGUAUUGUGUCGUUACGGGGUAUUGUGUCAUUAUGGGGUAUUGUGUCGUUAUGGGGUAUUGUGUCAUUACGGGUAUUGUGUCGUUAGGGGUGGUUUAUUGUGUCAUCACGGGGUAUGGUGUCAUGGGGUAUUGUGUCGUUAUGGGGUAUUGUGUCAUUAUGGGGUAUUGUGUCAUUAGGGGUAUUGUGUCGUCAUGGGGUAUUGUGUUCUUAUGGGUUAUUGUGUCGUUAGGUGGUUGUGUCAUUACGGGUUAUUGUGUCGUUAUGGGGUAUUGUGUCGUCACGGGGUAUUGUGUGUCAGGGGUAUUGUAUCAUUAUGGGGUAUUUGUGUAUUAUGGGUAUUGUGUCAUUAUGGGGUAUUGUGUCGUUAUGGGGUAUUGUGUGUCAUUUAUGGGGUAUUGUGUCAUUAUGGGGUAUUGAUGUCAUUUAUGGGGUUUAUUAUGUCGUUCUUAUGGGGUAUUGUGUCAUUACUGGGGUAUUGUGUCAUUAUGGGGGUAGUGUAUGUCUUAUGGGGUUAUAUGGUGGUAUUGUGUCGUAUGGGUUGUUGUUGUCGUUAUGGGGUAUUGUGUCGUUAUGGGGUAUUUGUGUAGUAUGGUUGUGUCACUUUGGGUAUUGUGUCAUUAUGGGGUAUUAUGUCGUUAUGGGGUAUUGUGUCGUUAUGGGUAUUGUGUCUAUGGGGGGUGUUGGUAUUGUGUCAUUAUGGGUUUAAUGGUUAUGUAUGUUAUGGGGUAUUGUGUCGUUAUGGGUAUUGUGUCAUUAUGGGGUGGUAUUGUGUCAUUAUGGGGUUAUUGUGUUCCAUUAUGGGGUAUUGUGUCAUAGGGGUAUUUGUAUACUUAUGGUGUAUU
rnacentral:lncRNA from 1 species